AAUUAUAUGAAAGGCAAAAUGAAGAACUAAAAAAUCAAUUCCUAGUGGCUGAGGCUAACAGACUGUGAUGGCAGAGCGAUGGCGGUUCAGGAAGUGACGAUGGAGACGGUGGCUGUCACAGCAGAAGAGUGGGUUGCAUGAACGUCGCUAUAGGAUGUGACAGAGGCACUAGAGAUAGAGCAAUCGAGCAAAGUUGCAAGCCAAGGCUAGCAAGUCGGCAACCGAGAAGAGAUGAUGUCGACAGUGGGCGGUGGCUGCUGCUGGCUUGGAGCAUUGGUGGUGCGGUAGCCGGUGGUAGGCUAGCAGCACUGUUGCUUAUGCUUUUCAAAUUAGGGAUUGGAUUUCAUGAUUCGAGUAUUUGGGUUUGGGUUUUAAUUUUGGUAUUUAUAUAUAUAUUUUUUAAUUUAUUAAGAAACUACAUCUGGGUUACGGUGUUUUGGUGCUAAGCCCGAAACUGUGCCCGGAAAUGUUCAGGUUUCAGGAUUUUAUGCCCAGAUGCGUUUUUUUAGUAUAUGCUGGAUUGGU
rnacentral:lncRNA from 1 species